AGCAUUAGAAGCAUCACCUGGUCUAGUAUUGAUGGGAUACCUAUCUGGACAAGUUGACCUCCGAAAAUUAUGGCGACCAAUGAGAUCAUCAUGAUGGCCGAAUGUUGUCGACUUAGUAAUUUGACGUGUUCUGGGAAAACAAGUUAAGUGUGUGGAAAUCGCUGUUCAGAAACAAAAUGGAGCAAAGUGCAGGUAAGUGGGUGAAAUGUAGAGGCAUGCGCGGAAAAUCAUUCCCUUCUACAAGAAAAUAAUGCAGGCUGCGGAGCAUCAACUUUUACUGUAGUAGGGGCAGUAUAUUAUCUAAUAGCCAUAUGGGUUAGACCAAUAAAUAAUACUAUUCAAGAAUAAACUUUCACACAACACCCAAAACUAAAUGUUCGUGGGUCAGUGCAGAUCAUAUAAAAAUAAUCAGCAAGAUACUGUUUAAACUUAAAAUAUCCUGUUUAAAUAUCCAAAGAAAACAAAGAUUAAAAUAUUCUCAAGACCACUAGAUACGCACAUUAAACAGAAGUUCAAAGUUAGCCUAAAUAUUUUAAGUUUCUGCCACUAUCGUGUAUCCAACUCUCAACGACAAUUUAAAUUUUUUUAAAUGUAUUUAUAGCAGCAAUAUAAUCCGGAACCAUAUUAUAUAGCCUCGGGGCAAAAUAGUUACUGGCACGCUGGUCAAUUGUAUUUGAACAUGUCAUGAUAUAAGUCGACCUUCCUUUAGUCUGGUAGUUUUCUUCCACUGACUUUAAUAAAAUCUUUUUUUUGUAUACACCCUUCAGUAAUAUAAAAUAGUAAAGCUGCCGCAAGUCUAGCAGUCUGCUCUAAAGAAACAAGGCAUCACUAGAGUAAUCGAAAUCUUUUUUAUUUGUUAUUCUAAUAAUCCAUUUUUGUGUCGUUAAAUUGUUUAAAUGACAUUCGGCAACUGCAAGCAAGAAUUUCGUAAGAGGAGUAUCACUGAACAAUAUAUAAGUCUAAAGUUGUGAAAUGUUAGAAAGUUUGGCAGGUAUCUAAAACGCGGCAAAAAGCCCCUGAUAUUUUUAACAACAUUCUCUGUCUUUAACUUCUCGGUCAUAAUUAUUCCCAGAUAGUUUACGGAUUCGGCUUCUAAAAAAAUUCGCCAAUCGUGGCAAUUGGAGUCAAGAGGUAAUCUAAAUACACAUGACAACACAACAUUUGAUACUAAGUGCACCGAAAUCACAACACAAAUAUCACGAAAUGGCUCUCUAUGCAUUACUUUAAAUUCUGCCAAGUAUUUGCCUUAUAUACUACUUCAGUAUCAUCAGUAAAAGAUCGUCUUUUGUUAGGUUAUAAAUACCUUCGAAACCCAUAACAUCUCGUUUUAUACAAAAAUCUAGUCUGGAGAGAUCCAAAAAUACGGAUAUUUUAGGCUGUUUCGAAUCUACUGUAUCGUAAAUCUGCUCUAAAAGAUCACAAAUUGCGUUCUGAAUCGAUCUUUUCUCCCUAAAUUCAUGCCGACGAUUUUAUAUUAUAUUUGUCUAUAAAGUUCACUAUUCGUAUUUUUAUUAUUUUUGAAAAUACUGAUAACAGCGAGAUAGUUAGAAAUUUUAGUUCUGUCUCCUCCUUUGUAUUUGGGCUUGAUUAUACCAAUCUUCAGAUAGGCAGAAAAGCACUGACCAUUUAUUAAUUAAAUAUUGGUGAUAUUUGAUCAGUCACCUUCUUCACAGUUUCACUUUUUAAAUUAUCACAUCCGGAAGAUUUAAUUGGUUUUAAAGUUUUAAUAAUUUGUUUUUCCUCGGUAAUAUUUGUUUUGUACAAAUGCAAUUGUAUUCUGCAUGAAAGGAAUAUUUUCUUAAACAUUUGAUGGAGCAAUUAUUCUAUCUGUAUAUUUCCUGCCAAUAGUACAUUAAACAUUAAAACUGUUUGAAAUAUGGAUAGUAUCAGUAUGUUUUUUUUAAUUUAUUAUGAUGUCUCUAUUUUAUUUAUCUUAACCCUUCGCCUUACACUCGUAUUCAUAGUCGAGCGCCAGCCGCCCGCUGGCUUCAGAUUUCCUGAAAAUGUUCAUUCUUAUUUCGUAGUGGAGCGCCCCCCGAAUGACGCCUGCGCAGAACGGUCUUUUAAAGUUCUCAAGUUCUCGCCCGCGGGCGAUUGGAUAAGUUUAUUUUUUUCGUUUCAUAGUCGAAUUUCGAGGAAAGAACACAUGCGCUGUUUAAGCUGAACCGAUUGUCUUUCGCCGGGCGACUGGAGGAUGUCCCGACAUUCUCCGGGUGACUCGCCAGUUGAAUUUAAGAGCAUAGACUUGCUAUAACUGUUAUGGAAAACCUUUAUAAUAUUGUCCGACUAAAUGCAGAAAUCGACGAAAAUGAUGACAUUAACUUAAGAAUGCCUAAAAGAUAUAUUAGAGAUAUGCAAAACCCAGUUCAAUUUUACAAUGAUUUCGAAUUGAAACGUCGAUACAGAUUCAGUAAAAAUGUAGUUAUGGAACAUUUAAUUAAAUUAGUGGAACCAGAACUAUUGAAAGUUAACCAGCGUGGUUUACCAGUUUCGCAUUUAAUAGCAAUUUUAUGCACAUUACGAUUUUAUGCAUCUGCAAGUUUUCAGCUUACUUGUGGGGAUCUUGGAGGAAUCUCACAGUCAACUGAAUUAAUUUUGGAGAGAACCUAGAUGAAGAUGAAAACUUACAAGUAAGGGGAAAUGCUGAAGGUUAUGGAGUUCGUCGUGCAUUGAUUGCGCGUCACUCUACAGAAUGAAAUAGUUUUAUUAUAUUAUGCUAUUAUACAUAUAUAACUAUAUUGAAACCUGUUAACUGACCAAAACUAACUUUAUUACUAAAAUAUAUGGCAUAUUAACAA